rnacentral:rRNA from 1 species
UACGUAGGGUGCAAGCGUUAAUCGGAAUUACUGGGCGUAAAGUGUGCGCAGGCGGCCGCGCAAGUCGAGUGUGAAAGCCCCGAGCUUAACUUGGGAACUGCGCUCGAAACUACGUGGCUGGAGUGUGGCAGAGGAAGGUGGAAUUCCACGUGUAGCGGUGAAAUGCGUAGAGAUGUGGAGGAACACCAAUGGCGAAGGCAGCUCGCUGGGACGGUACUGACGCUGAGGCGCGAAAGCGUGGGGAGCAAACAGG